AAAGGUUUUAAGGACACAGUAAAACAAUGCCUCAACCCAGCUCUCCAUACAGCAGCUGUUGGGUAUCCUGCGAUCACUUAUUCUCCUCACAACUCUGGCCCAGCCUGGCUGUAUUAAGGGACUUGCAAAACCACAAAGAGAGCGGAAACCGAUAGAGCAAUAUUGUAACAUCAAAUUAGAAAAUUAGAAAAGAAUUAUAAUACAGGGUUGACGGCGAGGGAGAAUGAAUGCAAGUGCUCUUGUAUUAUCAAGACAUCAUCUGGAAACUGUUUUAUUGGCCUGAAGGUGCAGGUGUAUGGUUUGUGGAAAGCCCUAUUGAUUUCAAAUGGAAAUUCCAUGUGU